GCUCUGCAGCGAUAAACUUCACGAAGAAUCCAAUCGUCCUUAAGACGUGUUCACGCAGAUUCGUAGCGCAGAACACGCAUGCGUCGUGCACUGCCGUCAGGGUACAAGAGAAGCAAUACACUCCUGCAACUUAGCUUCCGCAUCCAUUAACAGACGAGGGGAGGAACCACUAGCUACCCGUUCCCGGAAAGCACCACGAGCGCGUACGCAAAGCUUGUCUCCGAUUCCGUGCUAGAAUCCGACAGCGCUCGUCCGCGAUGGCAGCCAACGAGAGGUGCAAUGCUGAAGAAGUCCGGGACCAAAGUCCAAACGUCUGCGAUCCAAAUCCACGUAAGCUAAAACGACAUCGCCUAAUACAAACCGGCGAGAGGCCUUUCGUAUGCGCAUGCGGCGCAGCGUUCAAGCGGCUGCGCUAUCUGAGGAGGCAUCAGCGCCGUCCUGCAGCCCAUGGUGCAAACUGUCAAGGCGACUUACCUUCACUCGCACAACUCCCUUGG
rnacentral:lncRNA from 1 species